UUUCCCCAACUGUCUAAAAACCAUAGAGAUGAGCACUGUGGACACCCCACUGCCCAGUUGCUUUCAUCAUGAAAGUCUGAAUUAUUCACGGCCACCGCCAUCAUGUGUUCCCAGUCAGUGGUGGCAACGUCAGGUCUUCAGGGCUGGAGUCAUCUGGGAAGGCAGGACCGAGGCAUAGACUACCCUCCCGUGCUAAGUGCUCCAGAGGGGCAUAGACUACCCUCCCGAGUGUGGUGCCCAUGCAAGCCGGCCUCUGUGACUCCCGUGUGGUGAUGUGCUUGUCUUGAUUCCAGGUGUGCCCCUCAGUAGAGCUGUGUUCCUUCCUUAUGAUUUUCACUCUGACCGGAGACUGACCAGUGGGAAACCGGUCUUCCUGUGUAGGCCGAACUCAAACUCACAGAGAUCCCCCCCUCAACCUUCAAGGACCGACUAAUGACUGGCAUUGCAUUGGCCCAACCAAGUAUUUUCAAACAAGAAAAGGAAAAAACAAUAGUAGCUAGAAUUCACAUGAGUGCUGAGAAAAACCCUAAGCUGAAUGUUCUGUGAUUUAUUUCAAAUGUUCUUUUUUGAAGGUCAUAUUGAAUUACUAUAGAAAUAUUAAACAUUUUCUUUGGUUGAAGAUGAACUGGCAGAAACCAGCCUUUAAUGUCUUUAUGGACACUAUGGACUUUAUGAGACUUGGACAUAAGUGGAGCUCUCAGAAGAACAGUCAUGGAAAUUGUGACGAGAGACUCAGACUUCUGGGAGACUAGAAUGCAAAGGACACUGUUGUAAUGCCUAAGAAUUAUGUGCCCAACAGAUGUGAGAAUAUGAAGGAAGGAGUUCUAACAAGCCAAAUUUAUAAUGAAACCAGUUAUUAUUUAUCAUUCUUCUAAAAACCAUGGUUAAAAUGCGCUAAACAGACAAAGGACAUGUGUAAAGCAAAUUUAAAACUUGAAAAAAUUAAGAACUUAAAUCUCUGAUUCAUAUUUUCUGCAUAAGAAGCAGUGAUUCUUUUUCUUCAUUCUCAUAAGUCAGUGGAACUAGAAGCCAUGGAGGCUCUGAAGCUUUAACCAUCGCACAUUCAGAAAUAAAAACGCUGCCCCCGGCGUGAGUUGGAUCACCGAGGCGUCACCCUAGCCUGUAGCAGGCCACUACAGAAACAGCCAUCAUCACCGUUUCUGAAGUUAAUCUGUGUUUUCAACAGCACUGUCAGGACACUUUGUCAUGGUGGAGCCCGCUGCAGGAUCUCAUUUGUGAGGAUGCCCGGAGUUCACAGCAAGUGAACAGGCUUGAGGUCCCUGAAACAAUGCUUGCACACAGAUGGAUCAGAAGUGGCUUUUAAUGAAAUACUUGCUACCGUAUUUCCUCACAUCCUACAAGAGACAGAGAUGGGCUCCUGCUCUUGGCGGUGACAACCUGCUUGGCUUUCUUUUGAAGAUUCAGAGAAGUAUCAGAGUCACACACAAAAUGGUGCUGUGCCAAUAUUUAGCCAUUUCAAGUGUGAAACGUGUGGACCACAUACUAGGAAAGGCCUCCCAAGGUGACCAUGACCUAUCUGGUCUACAGUGUGAAUUCAAGACCAGUUCGCGCCAAGUUAAUAACCCUGUCUCAGGAUAAAAAACAUAAAAUGAGUGCUGGGAUUAUCACUCAGCGGUGGAGCCCUGGUCCAUGUGUGAGGCCUCUGUGUCCAGCCCUCGGUGUCACAGAAAGAAAAAGGAUAAUGUCACCCUGCCCCUGACAUGCUGCUGUAAGGGAGGCGAGUGGACAAGCGUCACGGCUGUGGAAGGCUCUCAGCAUCGGUCCAUGAGGCACAGAAAUUCUUUAUUGCCACAGGAAGCAAGUGCACUCAUCAUCUUAAACAGAAUUCACACAAUGAAGGAUAGAUAACACACACUUGGGGAGACAUGGUCCCUUGGAUUAUAUUGGCUGUAAUACUGAGGUAACCAAUUGACCCUUUUCAGUGAAAAUAUCUUAAACAAAAUGAAAAAAAUUCACUAGUUAUAACAUCUAAUUUAUAUACACCAUUCAAAUAAAAAUAUAUAUUAUUUGCUUUAAUGUAUAGCAAGUUUAAUACAUUAGUGUUUACAAAAUAAAAACUGUAUUCUACUGAAA